rnacentral:rRNA from 1 species
GACGAACCGUGCGAACGUUGUUCGGAAUCACUGGGCUUAAAGGGCGCGUAGGCGGCUUCGCAAGUCGGGGGUGAAAUCUUUCGGCUCAACCGGAAAAGUGCCCCCGAUACUGCGGAGCUCGAGGGAGGUAGGGGCGGACGGAACUUCCGGUGGAGCGGUGAAAUGCGUUGAUAUCGGAAGGAACGCCGGUGGCGAAAGCGGUCCGCUGGCCCUCUACUGA